GUGAACGCUGGCGGUAGGCCUAACACAUGCAAGUCGAACGGCAGCACAGUAAGAGCUUGCUCUUACGGGUGGCGAGUGGCGGACGGGUGAGGAAUACAUCGGAAUCUACUUUUUCGUGGGGGAUAACGUAGGGAAACUUACGCUAAUACCGCAUACGACCUACGGGUGAAAGCAGGGGAUCUUCGGACCUUGCGCGAUUGAAUGAGCCGAUGUCGGAUUAGCUAGUUGGCGGGGUAAUGGCCCACCAAGGCGACGAUCCGUAGCUGGUCUGAGGGGAUGAUCAGCCACACUGGAACUGAGACACGGUCCAGACUCCUACGGGAGGCAGCAGUGGGGAAUAUUGGACAAUGGGCGCAAGCCUGAUCCAGCCAUACCGCGUGGGUGAAGAAGGCCUUCGGGUUGUAAAGCCCUUUUGUUGGGAAAGAAAAGCAGCAGGUUAAUACCCCGCUGUUCUGACGGUACCCAAAGAAUAAGCACCGGCUAACUUCGUG
rnacentral:rRNA from 1 species